UUCAAGAAAAACUUCAAUGUGUCGGAUUCUGAGGGCGUUAUUUCGUCAUCAGUAAGUAUAAACUACCAACUGCCGUCUUGCUAGAAGUGUGAUCACAAUUUGGAUGAUGCUCAGAGCAGGAACAUCUCCACUUCUCCUUCAGUGAAGAAAAAAAUGGAAGACACUUGGAAGUAUUGUGGUGUGUGUGUAAUAAGUUUGACAACUGAGAUCACCAACCGUUGCUCAUCCUGCCUGUGGUCACACAUUCUGCAGACCAUGUCUUAUAGCCAUCCUUAAAGGGAGAAAAGACCUCGAAUGCCCAUCCUGCAGUGCUUCAUCGUGAAGAGGCAGUUACUACAAGCAGCAGAUCAUCUAAAGACACCCUGGUCGUGCAUAGAGAAAGAAAUGGAAGCCACAUGGAAGUAUUGUGAUGUGUGUAAUAAUAAGUUCGACAACCGGGAUCAUCAACCAGUUGCUCUUACUGCCUGUGGCCACACAUUCUGCAGAACUUGUCUUAUAACCAUCCUUAAAGUGAGGAAAGUCCUCAGAAUGCCCAUCCUGCAGGAGACGUCACACAGGACCUCCGCCCGAUGUUCUUCCCAUAAACAGGGCUCUUUAGACCUCGUAGAACAAAAUGCACAGGAUUCUGAAGAGCUAGUUGACGUAGUAACCAGCAACAGACAGAAGACACCUCCAUCAGCUCCGACACCACCAUCAGCUCCGACACCUCCAUCAGAUCCUCCUAAUAAAAAAGAAGGUAAUACGUUUUGGAAGGUCGUGGGUUAUGGCGCGGCCGCUACUGUUGGUGCUGUAGGAAUGGUUGUUGCAGCUCCGGUUGUUUUGACAGCUGCGGGAUUUACCUCAGCGGGCAUCGCCGCUGGAUCCUUGGCUGCAAGUAUGAUGUCUUCUGCUGCUAUAGCUAAUGGAGGAGCAGUUGCUGCUGGCAGUUUGGUAGCAGUGUUGCAGUCUGCUGGUGCUGCCGGGAUUGGAGCUGCGGCAACAGCUACUCUAGCUGGCACUGGUGCUGCCGUCGGUGCUGGUGUUGCAAAGAUCGUCGAAGUCGCAACAGAUAAGACAGACAGUGAUGAUGGAAAAGAUGACAAAUAGAAUUAAGAAGAUGAAGGUCUUCAAAUACGUGUGUUUGUACAUAUAUAUAUAUAUAUAUGUCGUGCCGAAUAUGUAAAACUGGUCAAUUAGCAAGAACUCAUUUAAAAUUAAGUCCUUUUUGAAAUUUUCUUUUAUAAGUUUAAAGAUAUAUUUUUUUUAUUAAUGUUAAUGUAAAAAAAUUUAAUUUUACACCAAAGAAAUCUUAGAAAACUUACCUAAUCUUAUUAUAACAAGAACAAUUUAUUUUAGCCUAACCCAACUAAAUGUAUUUUAGAUUUGUUUACAAUAAUUUAAUACUAAACAAACACAGUGAAAUAUAUUUUUUUUCGUUAAGUUCAGAAUGAUUUUGGCGAAAUUAUUGCAUACACAAAUUUUCACUUGUCCUAUAUGGCAAGAUGAGCGUUGCUAUUUAAGCCAAGAUCGCAAGUUCUGCCUAUUCGGCACGAC